CCUGAAUUCGAAAGGGGUUGGAUUCAAGUCCUGCCGGUUGUUCAGGCCGUCUUGCCCUGCCAGAUGGCGUCGGAAGCCCGCGGCGAUUCACGUCGCUUGCGGUGUCUUUCCCGGCGGUCACUCGGCGCGGUGGCGUUGCUCUGGCGCCGGAGGAGUGCACUUCCCCCCUAGUAGAAACGUCGCGACCCGUUGGGUGCCGGUCUAAGGCCCGGGAUGGCAGCCCGCAUGUCCUGUGGGGGUUCUCCUCACAGGCGUGCGGACACCUGGUGACCCGACCGGCUGCUCGACGGUAUGACCAGAGGAGUCGAUCCGCUGCUUGGGAAACACUUUGGUUGUGCAGCGUCCGGCUCGGCGCCGAUGCGUGUGGGAUUGAGGUGCAAACCGGGGGUGUCCGUGCGAAGCACGGCCCCGGCCCCACUGCGUUUUCGGAUGGCCGGUGACCUCGGACUGGAUCGUUACUCCCGUCGGCGACGCCCACCUUCGGAUGGUCUCCCGACCC
rnacentral:rRNA from 1 species